CCUAAGUGGCGAUUCCGCUCCUGGCCGUUUCAAUCGAUCAUGUGCGAAUAGGUACAAUCAAUCUUGAAUAAUCAAUAGUGAUCAUCGACGGUAUUGAAUCUGAUAUCUUCUUCUUUUAUGAUUGAUUGAAUGAAACAUCGAUGGUUUUGUUAUGUAUUGAUUGAGUGAAUGAAUGUUAUUUGAAUAUCAAUUUUAGAUUCUUUGUUUGUUAUUGUUUUUUGACACACGAUUUCGUUUUGUUAGGGUUUUAAAAGCUGAUAUCAUGUUGUUUGUUUAUAUGAUUUUGAUUUUCACCUUCAGAUGAUGAAAAGAAAAGGGUAUGGCCUAGAACUGAGAUGAUACUGAUACGGACACGAUUACUGUGGUUUGAUUACCCUUGUGUCCUUCCUUCUUUGUUUCUUCUGUUCCCCCUUUUGCUAUAUUAGAGUUUUCGACAAGGCUAUGAUGAGUUUGAAGUUCUGAUUAAAUAUUGUUGAAUAUGGCACCUUGGCUUGGCAGGGUUGAAGGAUGGUAGAUAUUCAUCUGCAACCUCCCUUGCAGCCAUGGUGCUUUCAUUUUUAUGUAAACUCUGAGCCAGACUGUAGCAUCUUUCCGACGAUCGAAGGGAAUUCCGAUAGCCUUAGGGUGAUAAGUACGGAGCUACCGUUGAUUACCAACCUGCUUUUAACAGGGAAGAUGAUUGUUAGCAAAUCGUUGUAUGGGAAGAUGAUUGUGAGCAUUACUUUUCGUUCAGGUUUUAUGGUUUCUUAAUCUUUAAAAGUUUGAACAAUUCUUCCUUCACACACUCCCUUUAUGCAUAUAAAUUCAAAUUCUACAAUGAAAUCAUGAUGUAGAGUACAAACAUGUAGAAUUGGGGAUAGAGGUUCACCCUGAAUGUAAAUUAGAAUCACAGCAAACGACUGAAUCUGAUUCAGUCGUAAUCACGAGAAGUGUUCAAAAGAAACUAUUUAAGGUCAAAAAAACAUGGUUUACUGUGGGUAUUAUCACUUUGCUCAUAAUCAACUCCACCAUUAGUUUCAUUGAAGAAAACAAUGCUGGUAAUGCAGCAGCUGCUCUCAUGGCUAGACUGGCCCCAAGUUGGUUAUUUUCAGAAAGUUUUGACUGCGAUCGGGAAUUUAUGUAUUUGUUCUAUCACUGUUGGAACGGUGAUCGAGAUAAUCGUAAUGUUCCGGAUUCAAGAUAGGCAGUAUCGGCCCGGUUUCUUGACUUACAUCAUCUUUCUUUUAUUAAUUUUAUUAUAUUUUUGUAUCAUUUUUGACAAUUUAUAUGAUUUAUACAGGGAGCGAUUACGAAAAGAAUGACAGCCGUAGAAGAAAUGGCAGGAAUGGACGUUAUUUGCAGUUCCAAAACCGGAACGUUGACUUUGAACAAGCUUACAGUUGACAAGAAUCUUAUCAAAGUAUUUGCCAAAGGAGUAGAUGCCGACACUGUCGUUUGUGAUGGCGGCCCGAGCCACUAGAACCAAAAAAAAGAUGCCAUUGAUGCUGCAAUAGUCGGAUUGGCUUGGUCAAUCUGAAUAUAUAUUCAGCAUAAGCUGUUAACUGGUCAUCUUUAUCCAUAACAGUUUCACAGCUCUAACUCAUUUUCUCGGAUCAGCGAUACAUAAAUUUAAAUGUUGCUCAACACCCCAACCAACAUUCAAACAGUUCCAUCAUUCAAAAUUCAUUGUACAUCCUAGAGAAAGUGCGUCCGAUGAGAGAAAUGCCAGUCAGCCAACACUCGAAUCUUCUCUGCAUGAGGGUUUUUUUCAAAUAGUUAAAUUCCUUAACUAACAUAAAUGUGAUUGUGAUAUGAAGUUCUUACUUCAGCAGACAAACUCGACCUAUUUACGCUUAAAAACAGUGUGUGAAGUUCGAAUCUUUGUAAGUAGCGUCAUCUCCCAAACGUUAAAUAGGACUCGACUUACAAGUACUUUGAGGUUAUCUUUGUUGACCCUGCACAUGCGGCUAUCCGUAACGACCCACAUAUCAACUGGAUCUGUAACCCGGUGCACAAACACAGAGAGUUUCGCGGACUAACAUCUGCUGGAAAGAAAUACAGAGGUCUGCGUGGAAAGGGACACUUGAACUACAAGGCUCGCCCUUCAAGAAGGGCUACAUGGAAAAGGAACAACACUCUUUCUCUUUGCCGUUAUCGUUGAAGGGUUUAUUAUAUGCAAGUUUGUUAUGGUGGUUACACCUUUUGUAGGGAUGUUUUUUUGGGCUGGAGACUUGCAGUUUUUUUAUUAAAUUUUGUUCGAAACUUUGUUUUGUUUGUUGUAUUAUUAUCUGAAUUAUUUUUUACAGCAACACCUUUAUAUAUUAUCAAAAGUUCUUUGAUAA